rnacentral:rRNA from 1 species
ACGGCAGCGGGGGCUUCGGCCUGCCGGCGAGUGGCGAACGGGUGAGUAAUGCAUCGGAACGUACCCAGUCGUGGGGGAUAACUACGCGAAAGCGUAGCUAAUACCGCAUACGCCCUGAGGGGGAAAGCGGGGGACCUUCGGGCCUCGCGCGAUUGGAGCGGCUGAUGUCGGAUUAGCUAGUUGGUGGGGUAAAGGCCUACCAAGGCGACGAUCCGUAGCUGGUCUGAGAGGAUGAUCAGCCACACUGGGACUGAGACACGGCCCAGACUCCUACGGGAGGCAGCAGUGGGGAAUUUUGGACAAUGGGCGCAAGCCUGAUCCAGCCAUGCCGCGUGAGUGAAGAAGGCCUUCGGGUUGUAAAGCUCUUUCAGACGGAAAGAAAUCGGGCGCGUGAAUAGCGUGCCUGGAUGACGGUACUGUCAGAAGAAGCACCGGCUAACUACGUGCCAGCAGCCGCGGUAAU